GACGAACGCUGGCGGCGUGCUUAACACAUGCAAGUCGAACGGAAAGGCCCUGCUUUUGUGGGGUGCUCGAGUGGCGAACGGGUGAGUAACCCUUUAUUAACCUGCCCUUUACUUUGGGAUAACUUCAGGAAACUGGGUCUAAUACCGGAUAGGAGCUCCUUCUGCAUUGUGGGGGUUGGAAAUUUUCGGCGGUUGGGGAUGGACUCGCGGCUUAUCAGCUUGUUGUUGGGGUAGUGUCUUACCAAGGCUUUGACGGGUAGCCGGCCUGAGAGGGUUAACGGCGAAAUUGGGAAUGAGAUACGGACCAGACGCCUACGGGAGGCAGCAGUGGGGAAUAGUGCAAAAUGGGCGGAAGCCUGAUGCAGCAACGCCGCGGGCGGGAUGACGGACUUCGGGUUGUAAACCGCUUUCGACUGUGAAGAAGCGGGAGUGACGGUAAUGGGUAAAGAAGCACCGGCUAACUACGUG
rnacentral:rRNA from 1 species